CAAAUAACUCCUUAUUUGUGGGUCUGUCAUAUAAAAGAUUCACAUUUUCGUGAUCCUCGUCUAAUUUGGGGUCGAUUCCAUGUAUAAACUCAAAAUACCCCAAAAUUGCUAAUUUUCCUGAACUACUGAACUGUUCAUGAAAAAUCACGAUUUUUGUCAAAUCCGACUUUUAGCAAAAAAACAAGUCAUUCCCAUCCCAAAUUUAAUAAGGAUCACGAAAAUCCUACUCAUUUCGUUAUGGGAUCAUUAUUUCCUGAGAUAUUGGCUACUUCCGGUUACUUCCGGAAAAUUUCCGUGACAAUAUGCAAAAAGUAAAAAAUGAGCUUUAAUGUUCUAACAAUUUCAAAUACUUUUCUCGUAUUCGGUAGGGUGUGGUAGCUAUUAUUCCGUGUUUUUCUUGCUUUCAACACUACAGGCUGAUCCUACGAGCUACGACAGUUUUACCUACAAAUGUUUAGCCGUUACGUGCUGCAACUAGUAGUCUAUUUUCUAGGAUGUAAUGCCUAAAAUUGGAAUUCAGCUAUCAGAGAUUAUCAAAAUUCAAGUACUCUAAAGCAAGUAUUGUACCGUUUUCAACAUUCAAAAUAAAAUAUAAUUUUUGGUUCUAGGCCGAAACUCUAGAUGGCGUUUUUGUGCGUUUAUGAUGAAGAUUAUGAGUGACAAGUUAAGGGGGUGUUUGUUACGUUACGCUGUUAUGUGUUUCAAAGGAUUUUUCGUCAAAACAUUUAUGAUUGCUUUUUGUCUGUGUUGGUGUUUCGCCUUGUUAGCUAUGCUAGCUGCUGAACCAGCAACCUGCAUUCCUGCUAUAAAUGUACCACAAGAGAUCCUGACACUUUGAGAAAGCCACUAUUGCUUACAUGAAGAUAACUUCCAGUUCAAGUACUGUUAAUGGACCUCAAGCCUUUUGUUUAAGCUUAGUGAUGUGUUCUCCCGUCAGUCAAUGACAGAGUCUUCAUCUACUUUCUGUUGCUUAACAUCCACCCUCAUCAUCCCAGGUAUCCAGAUUUCCAAGUUUCUCUGAUUAGCCAACCAUCAUCAAAACCCUUCAGCUCUUCAAUGUGGCUUCUCUUCCUCUCUUCUUAAUCUGCUGAAUGCCAACAUUGAAUAAGAUUCAUCAUCAUUACCUUUCCAUGAAAUCUUCAUUGUUAAUCCUGCUGUUCUUCUCACCGUUACUUAGCCAGCUCACAUGGAUAGGCUUUGACAGCAUCUCCAUUUUUUGGACUGCAAAUAUUCAUGUUACUUCGGUACGACACUGCCGUUUUGACAAUUUCGGUAGUUUCGCCCCCAGUGGACCACACGCAACUACAUUUUCUUCGUCUUCCUGUCGUUGUUGUCUACUACUUCACCUCAUCGCUGUCUUCGUUGAUGUCUUCGCCUUCAUCUCCGUCUUGUCAUCUUAGUCGUCUUCGCCUUCAUCUCCGUCCCGUCGUCUUAGUCGUCUUCGCCUUCAUCUCCGUCCCGUCGUCUUAGUCAUCUUUGUCUACGCCAUCACCUCGUCGCCGGUUUCUCUUUCGCCCUUCACGUUGGGAAUUCACCGUGGAUCUUCGCUCUGGUAUUGUUUUGUUUUACAUAAUUAUGUUUAAGUUAACCCGUUGGCUGCCACCCCGUUUGCGUCCCAUUUUUUUUGUAGCUUGUAGGGACCGGCCGCAAUGGCCUUCGCCGCAAGGCGCUUUAGG